UGGUUUUCAGUUUCAAAUCAU
rnacentral:piRNA from 1 species